ACAGUUCACCUGCCUGGCUUCUGUAGCCAUGGAUACUCUCUCAGUUUUUAUCCUGUGCUCUUUUAGGGGCAAAACCCUGCCUUCUCACCAGUCUCUACCAGAAGUUAUUCAAAUUAAACGUCUUAUUGUUUUCAUACUUUAAUUGAAGAUAUGGACAGUCACAAAAUGGGUUUCUUUGCACACCCACCAUAGCCACUUGUAACUACAAAGAUGUUCUUCUCUUCGUUCUUUUUCCUACUCCGGAUCAAGAGCCUGGAUUUCCGGCUGAAAUACAACACCGUGCAUUCUCCAAUGUAUAGCCUAGCUUUGGGUCAAAAAUCUAGGACCUGCUGCAAGAAUUACUACGCACUCAAGUUCUCUGCACACUGAGCACGAAGGUUCAUUGGAAAGGAGACUCUUGUGAGGCCUUGAAGCACAUCCAUUCACACCUAAUAAUUGUACAGAUAUGAAAAGUAACAUCAGAGAAGUAAAGAUUUUUCUAGGAGGCCAUUUAGGUUUUGCUCUGUGCUUUAUUCUAUCACAUUAGGCUGCCUUAUUCUCUGUUACCUGCAUAUCUAUGGUAGUAUUAAAAGUAAGCCAUUUUCAGUUUGCGUUAACAAGAUGGAUGUCUGAAAACCAAAUACAACUGGAAAAUUCAAUCCAAGUUACUGAGGUUUGACUGAGAUAUAUUGAUUCUUAAAAAACAAGAUAAUAAACUCUAAAUAUCCAUUGAAAAAA
rnacentral:lncRNA from 1 species